rnacentral:other from 1 species
UGCAGUUAACAGGAUGUUGACUGGUUAGGAUGACGAAAGGAAACACUUCAGGAUGAAGUUAGGGAACACCUCUAAGGACAGAGGAUUAAGGAUCACCUCAGGAUGAGGUAAAGGACACUUCCAGGAUGGAGAUGUGAGUUGUGGCAGGAUGCUGCAACGGGUCAGGAUCAGACCGAAGGACAGCUUUAAGGAAGAAGAACACAGGGAAGCACUGUUACGGAUAACAGUUACUCAUGGAAUGAGAGCAGGGAGCAUUAUCGUAGCGGGACUGCUGCAAGCAAGACCCACCGGGCGCAACGAAAGUUGCGCCCGUUCUUUUU